rnacentral:misc_RNA from 1 species
GCGAAAAACACAGAUCAACCCACCUGGUGGUCUUCCGGCAAUACACCGGCCCGGAAUUUCACAUUUCCGACGGCAGCACCGGUCGGAGAACAAUUACAGAUCGACUCAGUUCAUAUAUAUAUAUAUGGAUCCGAAGAAGAAGGAUUUUGAAGGAAAAUACGAAUCGUCGAGUAACAGUUUGUAUUGGACUAAUGAAAGGCAUGUUCAUUUUCUGAAUUCAAUUGAAGCUUCUUUUGUUCAAACUUUG